CAUGCAAGUCGAGCGGUAAGGCCUUUCGGGGUACACGAGCGGCGAACGGGUGAGUAACACGUGGGUGACCUGCCCUUCACUCUGGGAUAAGCCUGGGAAACUGGGUCUAAUACCGGAUAUUCACUUCCUGCUGCAUGGUGGGUGGUGGAAAGUUUUUUCGGUGGGGGAUGGGCCCGCGGCCUAUCAGCUUGUUGGUGGGGUGAUGGCCUACCAAGGCGACGACGGGUAGCCGGCCUGAGAGGGCGACCGGCCACACUGGGACUGAGACACGGCCCAGACUCCUACGGGAGGCAGCAGUGGGGAAUAUUGCGCAAUGGGCGGAAGCCUGACGCAGCGACGCCGCGUGGGGGAUGACGGCCUUCGGGUUGUAAACCUCUUUCGACUUCGACGAAGCCUUUUGGGGUGACGGUAGGGGUGGAAGAAGCACCGGCCAACUACGUGCCAGCAGCCGCGGUAACACGUAGGGUGCGAGCGUUGUCCGGAAUUAUUGGGCGUAAAGAGCUCGUAGGCGGUGUGUCGCGUCGGCCGUGAAAACCUGUGGCUUAACUAUGGGCUUGCGGUCGAUACGGGCAUCACUGGAGUUCGACAGGGGAGACUGGAAUUCCUGGUGUAGCGGUGAAAUGCGCAGAUAUCANGAGGAACACCGGUGGCGAANGCGGGUCUCUGGGCCGAUACUGA
rnacentral:rRNA from 1 species